rnacentral:tRNA from 1 species
GGUAAGAUGGCCGAAUGUAAGGCGGUAGGCUGUAGACCUAUUUAUAGGGGUUCAAUUCCUCUUUUUACCA